ACAAACAUGAAGAUUUAAUAACAAUAGAUGUAAAUAUUGUUUUCCCUAAUAAUAGUAGAACUAUACGUGUAAAAAAUUUUAAUACAAAAUUUAAACUUAACGAUUUAUUGAAAAAAAUAUUCCAAUCUGUUACUUCGCAAGCAUAUUCAUGGACUGAUUUUUUUACAUAUUUAGGAUAUAGGUCAACAGGAUAUAGAUUACCAGUUAGUGAAAAUGGAACUAAUAGUUUCGAGGAAUCUAAUAUGUUUAUCAACACAGCUAUUACUAAGAAUGGUACUACUCUCAAUACUACUACAAAUACUAUCAAUGGUAGAAUGGUACACGAUGAUAGAAGCUUUAAACAAUGUAUAUUAGAAGAUGGAAAAAUCAUAUUAAUAUAUAAACCACAAAAUAACGAAUUUAAUGAUUAUUUGAUUUCUAGAUUAACAUAUAUGCCAGCUUUAAUUAAUUUCAACACAGAAUAUAUUUCAUUUAAUAUUACCGUAAGUGAAUUUACCAACAGUACAACAACUUUAUAUGGUUUCCCUGACUACCUUUCACCGAAUUUGUUCCUAACGUUAUUACAAUAUAACUAUUUCAAAUUUAUUGGAAAAACGUAUUUACCAAUUUAUGGUUGUGCUUAUGACAUCACAAGUGAAAGCCAUCAACUCCACUUUUCCUCUGUAAAGGCUGGAUAUGAAAUUGGUGAAAAGAAACAAAAGUUGUUAGACAGUAAUGAAACAAUUGUUAACAUAUUAAAAGAUCAAAGUUCAAAAGAACAAAUGAAGCUUAUCUUAAAAUUAAAUUCAAGUGAACCAACGAAUAUAACAACUAUUAAAGAUUUGUCUCAUUUUGAAAUAAAUAUAGCAUGUAAACAAAUAAGUAACGCUGAAGAUAUGGAAGAAUGUGAUGAUAUAUUGGCUUCUUUAUGUGGAUCUUCUAUAUUCUGGAGAAAUGGUGUAUUAGGUUUUAUGGCAAAUUCAGUAACCGUGAAAGAUAACUAUGAUAAUAAUUUAUUGAUACCUUAUCUAGAUUAUGGUGUUAAUCAAAAAAUAUUAAUUCAAAAUAUAUUA
rnacentral:lncRNA from 1 species